AUUGAACGCUGGCGGCAUGCCUUACACAUGCAAGUCGAACGGCAGCGCGGGUGCUUGCACCUGGCGGCGAGUGGCGAACGGGUGAGUAAUAUAUCGGAACGUGCCCUGGAGUGGGGGAUAACGUAGCGAAAGUUACGCUAAUACCGCAUACGAUCUACGGAUGAAAGUGGGGGAUCGCAAGACCUCAUGCUCCUGGAGCGGCCGAUAUCUGAUUAGCUAGUUGGUGGGGUAAAAGCCCACCAAGGCGACGAUCAGUAGCUGGUCUGAGAGGACGACCAGCCACACUGGGACUGAGACACGGCCCAGACUCCUACGGGAGGCAGCAGUGGGGAAUUUUGGACAAUGGGGGCAACCCUGAUCCAGCAAUGCCGCGUGAGUGAAGAAGGCCUUCGGGUUGUAAAGCUCUUUUGUCAGGGAAGAAACGGUUCUGGCUAAUAUCCAGGGCUAAUGACGGUACCUGAAGAAUAAGCACCGGCUAACUACGUGCCAGCCGCCGCCGUAAGAC
rnacentral:rRNA from 1 species